rnacentral:rRNA from 1 species
CUGCUGCCUCCCGUAGGAGUCUGGGCCGUGUCUCAGUUCCAGUCUGGAUGAUCAUCCUCUCAAACCAUCUAACGAUCGUCGACUUGGUGAGCCUUUACCUCACCAACUAUCUAAUCGUACGCAGGCCAUUCCUAAAGCGCAUAAAUGCUUUAAUCCGAAGAUCAUAUGCGGUAUUAGCCACUCUUUCGAGUAGUUAUCCCUCACUUUAGGGUAUGUUCCCACGCGUUACUCAGCCGUCCGCCG